GACGAACGCUGGCGGCGUGCUUAACACAUGCAAGUCGAACGGACAGGCCAUGAUCUUGUGCGGUUCUCGAGUGGCGAACGGGUGAGUAACACGUGAGUAAAAUGCACCUGAAUUUGGGAUAAAAUCAGGAAAAUGGGGCGAAUACCGGGUAGGAGCUCCUGAUGCAUGGUGGGGGAUAGUAAAAUACGGCGGUUGUGGAUCGAAUCGCGGGAUAUCAGCUUGUUGGGGGGGUAGUGGCUUACCAAGGCUUUGACGGGUAGCCGGCCUGAGAGCGUGACCGGCCACAUUGGGACUGAGGUACGGCCCAGACUCCUACGGUACGCAGCAGGGGGGAAUAUUGCAGAACGGGCGGAAGCCAGAUGCAGCAGCGCCGCGUGCGGGAUAACGUCCUUCGGGGUGAAAACCACUUUCUCCGGUAACGAAGAGGGAUUGACGGUAAUGAGUAAAAAAGCACCGGCUAACUACGUG
rnacentral:rRNA from 1 species